GCUAGUAUAGUGGUGAGUAUCCGCGCCUGUCACGUGCGAGACCAGGGUUCGAUUCCCUGGC
rfam:Rhabditophanes sp. KR3021 genome assembly, scaffold: RSKR_contig0000016